CGUAGGGUGCGAGCGUUAAUCGGAAUUACUGGGCGUAAAGCGUGCGCAGGCGGUUUGUUAAGAUAGGCGUGAAAUCCCCGGGCUCAACCUGGGAACUGCGCUUAUGACUGGCAAGCUAGAGUACGGCAGAGGGGGUGGAAUUCCACGUGUAGCAGUGAAAUGCGUAGAGAUGUGGAGGAACACCAAUGGCGAAGGCAGCCCCCUGGGUCGAUACUGACGCUCAUGCACGAAAGCGUGGGUAGCAAACAGGAUUAGAUACCCUGGUAGUCCACGCCCUAAACGAUGUCAACUAGGUGUUGGGAGGGUAAAACCUUUAGUACCGGAGCUAACGCGUGAAGUUGACCGCCUGGGGAGUACGGCCGCAAGGUUAA
rnacentral:rRNA from 1 species